CCUGCAGAGAAAAGGAGAUGACCACAGGGAUUCUGUUGUCAGGUGUACCAGGCUUGUCUACUGAGGUGUGCAACAGCACAAGUCCAGAACUUUGUCAAUAAGAAGCUGAUGGUUGCUAUGUGCUGAGCUUGAGACAUUAGUGCCUUGUAGGCAGUGAAGGUCAGUGAAAAUGCCUCCUCAGUUUAGGUUCACCUUUUUGCCUCACUAAUACCCAUUUCCUGGCGUAGUUACACUCAGUUUAGAAUAAAACAACCUGGGGAAUAAACUGCACAAGUAAACAUUUCAGUACCUUUACAGAAGUUGAAAGAGGUGGCAGACCUGAAUCUGUAGCAGUGACUAUCAAGGAGUAAUACACAGGAGCAGUCAGUUUGGAUAAGUCUCUUGUUAACCUGAGUUCUCCUGUGGUGCUGGAAAGACUGAAGAGGCCUUCUGAGUUUCCACCUAAAAAAAGAAAAACAAGUGUUGGAGAUGUUUAACAGGGCCAGCAGAGACAAGAGACUGAAUUAUGCGUGCAGGACUUCAGAGACAUGGGUUGAAAUCAUAAUCUCUGUACAUGUGACUUGGAGCAAGAUACAUGGCCUCUCUUUACUCUGUGUCUGCAUCUCAGAAUCACUUGCGCUCAAAAACCCUUGUGAGGCCUCUAGUCCAACCUCUUGCCUCAAAGCAGAGUCAUGAAUGAAUCCAGAAUAGAAAGCUCAAGGCCUUGAUCCAUCAGGAGCUGAAAACCUCUGAGGACAGCCUCUCUGGGCUACCUGUUCCACAGCCUUUCUGUAAACAAGCAGAAAAAGACUGAAUUAUGGUUUUGGAAACCUUUUCAAUCAAGAUGUCAAUAGGUACUGCAAAAAGGCCAUAGAAAACAUUGUGAAUACACUGAAGAAAGUAAUGUCAGUUUGUCAAAAAUGAAGAUUUUCACACAAACAUUUUCUGAGGGAAACUUCAUCUGGCUGCAGUGAAAAGGUCGCAUCAUCAUUUCUGAUGAUUUACUUGAGCAGACUGUGUUACUACUGAAGGCUAUCCUUAUGCCUCAUAAUUACACAUGGUGAAA